UUCACCGGCUGGCCUCUUCCCAAGGGUCUGCUGGAGAGCCCCACCCCCAGAUGGAGUCCUAUGGAACACCCCUAAUCAUGGGUGAUGAGCCACCCACCCCCUUCACCCACUUCUACUCAGAGUGAAGUCACAGGUUACGUGAUGCACGUGACAGCUCUGUAAGAAAAGUCGCAUCUGUGUCCCAGGUCCCGGCUGCAGCCAGAUGACAGAGAGAUUGGAAAUAGAAAGUUGUAAAGAAACACGCCCCCAGCUGGUGGCUCAUGCCUGUAGUCCCAGCUGCCGGGAGGCUGAGGCACGAGAAUAGCUUGAACCUGGGAGGUGGAGGCUGCAGUGAACCGGCAUUGCACCAUAGCACUCUAGCCUGGGCAAUGAAGUGAGACUCAGUCUGAGAAAAAGAAAAAAGAAACAUGCCCCAAAAUACAUUCCCGACCAUGCAUCCUCACAGACCGACGCUUCACAGCCAUGUCUGUAUGCGUGAGGACACAGCCAUGGGCCCUGGUACUUGCUGUCUGUCCCCCUGCUAGGUCAGUCCCUCUGCUGCAGACAGCAGGGCACGCCUGCCAACCUUCCUUCAGACUUUCGAGGCAGCUCUCCUGAGGCUGUGCUGCAGUGAUUUUCUUACAGAGCUGCAAGGAACACAAAGUGAAAGUGGUCAGUGAAAACGAAAUGGUUCUAUUUUGAAACAUGGGGCACAACGCUUGGCCACUCCUCCAGUCCAGAGACAGAACCUCACUCACCUCCUUGAAUGUGGCCUGGGCUGGGUGACUCAUUUCCACAGUCGGAAUAAAGUGAGGUCCAGACAGAGCGACUUCAGACACAGGUCCUGAGGGGCUCCGUGGCGUUUGACUGCUGUCACCCUCUGGUCACUUGCUCUGGUAGAAGCCGGCCACCAUGGUGUGAGCAAACCCAGAAGCUGAUGGAGACGCUCACGUAGUGAGAAACAGCUGCAUGUGGAGCCGUCGUGGGAGCCAGCCCUGGUGGAGCCCUCAGAUUACCUAGCUCUGGCUUACACUCCCAUCUUACAGAUAAGGAAACUGAGGCACAGAAAGGCUAAACGUCUUGCCCAGGACCAGACAGCAAUACAGAGGCAGUGCUGGGAUCUGAGCGAGGGCGGCCUGGCUCCCAGGCCCACGCACUCAUCCCUACCCCCAGCCCACUCAACAUGGUGGGGCCACUGUGUUCGUCACGCUCCAUGGCCUUCCUCCUUCUGCCAGCUGCAUAGAGCAGGUGUGGACAAGAACUGGGCCCUGUGCCAUACUCAGAACGGUCUCUGCCUUGGAGAAGCAAGAGGCAGCACUGGUCUCCAGGGACAGGUGGGCUGAUGUCAAAUAUUGGCUCCACAGCUUUCUUGCUGUGCAAAUCAGCCUGGUCUCCUCCCACGGCUAUGAAAAGAAUUGUCACUUCAGAGUGCUGUGCGGAGCAGGUCGUCCUGGAGGUCACCUGCUGAGAGGACUCUUUGACUGACAGACUCUCUGGCUCCCCCGGCGGCUGUGGCUUUCAGCAGUGCUUCCUUCCUGUGGCCGAGCUGUCUCCCCUGACCACGGACCCAGCUGAACCUCUCCUCACUGAAGGACAUCUGGACUGCGUCCCAGGUUCUGGCUAAAACAAGUAAAGCUUCUAUGAACAUGCACGAGCAGAAACAGGGUUUGUUAUGUCGCCCAGGCUGAUCUUGAACUUUGGGGCUCAAGCGAUCCGCCCGCCUCAGCCUCCCACGUCCUGGGAUUAUACUUGUGGCCACUGCCACAGCCUUGCCGUGGUUUUUGGUCCGAACUUUGAAGGUGCCUGGUGCUGAACAUCUCUUCCUGUACACGUUUGCCUUCUGCGUGCCCUCGUCAGAGAAAUAGCUCUUCACGUCCUUUGCCCAUGUUGUAAGUGGGUUGUUUUUGUGCUGUUGAGUUUGGAGAUACAUCAUGAAUAGAUUGUAGGUUCCAGUCCACUGUCCGCUCUGCCAUUUGCAAACAUUUUCUCCCAGUCUGUGGUUUGUCUUCUUGCUCUUCCAUGGGUAUUUCGUGGAGCAGUUUUUACGUCAAGGAGGCCAUCCUCUGCUGGGUUCCCACCCUCCUCCCAGUCAUGGGAUGUCCCAGCCGGGAGCCAGGUCCACAGCGGCAGUGAAAGGAUCACCCUUGCCCCAUAAGGUCUCUGCUGCCAGAAGCCUAAGUGUCAGGCAGCUCUCCCACCUCCUGACAUCUGGAAGCCCCCUGCGCCCUGUGGUGUCCAGCGUGGAACUAGCUGAACCCCUUUCCCCUCCCACCUUCAGACCCUCGAGGGCAGGAGCCCCUGGCUGUGCACAAGCCUGAGGCCGGCCAGAAGGUGCAUGACCUGCUUCCAUGACAGGAGCCGGGGACACCUCCCUCCUCUGGAAAGUUCCCGAUACUGGCAUCUCCCAUCAGGGACCUGAGUGCUGGAGCUGUGGCCUCUCCCUGCUUCCUGCAGAGCUGACCAUCCGGUGACCAUCAGCUUCUGUAGACCUCAGUAGUCUCAGGAAGGCAUCCCUAGGGUCUGUCUGUGAUAAAAGACAGAGGCUCCUUCCUCAGGAAUUUCCUGUUUUGGGGACACUGACUCAUUCUCCAGCGAGUUCCCACAAGGAAACACAAAGAACAAGGAGCUGGAGGCCCAGCCGUGGACGCCCACUUCCUGUCCUGGGGGGCAGGAAAUCCCCAGGAAGACACCAGAUUAAAUCAGAUCUGCACACCCCAUCACUUCCUCUGGCGACCUGACGAGUUGUGUGGGAUUGCGUGAGACCUUCACCAAGACCCAGCCUGGGCCCGGGAUGUGGGGAGCCAAGGCGGUGGUGCUAAGACCACAGGACAAUGCGGGGCAGGAAUGCGCUGAGGUGGGUGCCGGCUUGCAGGCUGGGUGACCCCACAUUGUUUUGUGAGGAAGGGUGUGUCACGUGUGCAUGCUGUGUCAGAACAAGAAGCCGAGUUCCUCCCUCUGCUGGGCCUUGGUUUCGUCAUUCAGAACAGAAGGGGCUUUUGGGCCAGGAAGGUCUAAAGCAUGGGGUUUGGGUUGGGGAGAGAAGUCCAGUGCAGAGGUGGGGCUGGAGUGUGGAAAUGCCCUUGGGGCACUUCAUCCCUACUCCCAAAGCACCCAGGAGGGACUUCACAGGGACCAAGUGCAUGUGAGGAGGUGCAGAAGGCAGGGGCCGGGCAGCUGGGUGCCCCCUCCUCCAGGCAGGCCUCCCUGCACUCCACGUCUCUGUGACAUCCACCUCUGACUCCACACAGAUUCCCCAUACCACACGGACCUCUCUGCUUGUGCCCGUGCUCACCAGCCUGGCUGUGGGGUCUGGGAUGUUUUCACUCAGAUGUGUGUCUUCCCCAGCCCCACCUCCCAUAUAGCGCUUGGCACAGAGUUCUGGGAAGGUCUGUGGAAGGAACCAACAAAUGACUCACAGCACUUGAAGGGAGGGGAAGCUGGGGGUGCAGGGCCUCCCUGAGGGCCAUGCUGUCUCCCACCACCACCUCCUUGUUCCUGUGGCCGAUAUUGCAGGUCCCUGACCUGGGUCCCCACUCACCUUGUUCCAGCACGGAGCACCCUGCCCAGCACCCCUAGGCUUGCUGGGCUGCUGGGGGCUCCCAGCCUCUGCUGGAAACUGCACCCCUGCCCAGUUUCUCCUGGCUGCCUUCCUGCCCUUCUUCCCCUGACUUCAGUGCUCAGUGAAGCGUCACCUUCCUGGAGGCCUCCUGCAAACCCCAGACAGGGGAGCAGGGGCUUUGCUGCGGAGAUUCAGCCACAUACGGCUUUUCUUUCAUUGACAUUGACUUUUCAUUACAAAAUUGGCAUGCCCACCGAGACCCGAAUGAAAGAGCAGUGUCUAAAGCAAGAAGCAGCGCCCCCUCACUGCUGUCUCUGAAAGCAGCGCCCCGGCGUUCGCUCCCACUUCCAUAGUUUUCUCUGCUUAUGCAAAAGCACAUGUUGAAAACAACAACUUGUAGGAAGAAAAAAAGUUGGGCCUGGUGGCUCACGCCUGUAAUCCCAGGACUUUGGGAGGCCGAGGCAGGAGGAUCACCUGAGGUCAGGAGUUGGAGAGCAGUCUGGCCAACAUGGUGAAACCCUGUCUCUACUGAAAAAAUACAAAAAUUAGCUGGGCAUGGUGGUGUGUGCCUAUAGUCCCAGCUACUCUGGAGGCUGAGGCAGAGACAGGAGAAUUGCUUGAACUCAGGAGGUGAAGGUUGCAGUGAGUUGAGAUCGUGCCACUGCACUCAGCCUGGGCGGCAGAGAGAGACUCCUUCUCAAAAAAACAACAACAAAAAAUAAAAUAAAAAGAGAACAAUAACUUGUAACCGGCAGGGUUGCUGCAUGAGUUUCUUACACUCUGUAAGGCUAUUCUUGGAUGUAAGUGAGCCAGUGUGGCCAGGAGGGUGACAAGAAGCAGUGUGCACCUUGCUGUCACCUGGGCUCAGAGAUUCUGGAGGGGUCGGUCUAAGGGUGGUGGGAAGCAACACUGAGGCAGCAAGAGGGGCUCCUUAGGAUCUGCUAAAAGCUCUGCAGAACGUCACUGUCCCCUGUACAGCCAGGAGGCCAAGGCCCAGCGCUGGGAGCCACCUCCCUCCUCAGGGGCCUGACGACAAAGGCAGUGCUUCCUCGAGUCACUCCACCAACGUCAAGGACCUCAAAGCCAAGCUCCUGCUACACAGUGGAAAUGAGGACCAUUGCUAGUGAUAAGUGCCAGAGCCAUCAGGUUUUGAAAGGCCCCUGCCUGGUUGCAGUCACAGACCAUCCAAGCUGAAACGCAUGCUGCUCCAGAUGGCCACACCUGAUCCCAACGAAAACGCAGGAGACAAUGCGUGAAGUUUGUCCAGCAUGAAACAGUCAUUCGAUAAACUAGAUAAAAGGCUCCAAAAUGUGGACAAGGAGAAACAACCUAGCAUACAUCAGUUGGUUGUGGUGUUUAAGUCACUUUCUAUUUUCUAAGUUUCCUACAAGAAUUACCUGGAGGCGGCUGGGUGUGGUGGCUCAUUGUGAGCCAAAAGUGCGCCACUGCGCUCCAGCCUGUGCAAGAGAGCGAGACUCCAUCUCUCUCUCUCUCUUUUUGUUUUUUGAGAUGGAGUUUCGCUUUUUUUGUCCAGGCUGGAAUGCAAUGGCAUGAUCUUGGCUCACUGCAACCUCUGCCUCCUAGGUUCAAGCGAUUCUUCUUGCUCAGCCUCCCAUGUAGCUAGGAUUAUAAGUGCCUGCCACCAGGCCUAGCUAAUGUUGUAUUUUUAGUAGAGGCAGGUUUUCAUUAUAUCGGUCAGGCUGAUCUUGAACUCCUGACCUCAGGUGGUCUGCCCACCCUGGCCUCCCAAAUUGCUGAGAUUACAGGGGUGAGCCACCAUGUCUGGUUGAGACUCCAUCUCAAAAAAAAAAAAUUACCUGGAGGCUUCCUCUACAUGAUAAUGUAAUCUGCAGAAGGGUCUGGCUGCUCACUGCUCUUUCUUGUAGAAAGAAGCCAAAAUAGUAACAAGUUGUGAUAGAAAGAGAACGAGACUUUAUUAUCAAGCCAGCAGGGGAAAAGCAGAAAGCAGCUCCACUCUUCCAUUUGCAGAGGGAAUGCAGAGCAUUUUCUCUCUUUCUUUUUUUUUUUUUUGAGACAGAAUUUUGCUUUUGUCACCCAGGCUGUAUUGCAGUGACACAGUCUCGGCUCACCACAACCUCUGCCUCCCAGGUUCAAGUGAUUCUCUGCCUCAGCCUCCAAAGCAGCUGGGAUUUCAGGCACCUGCCACCACGCCCGGCUAAUUUUUGUAUUUUCAGUAUAGACGGGGUUUCACCAUGCUGGUCAAGCUGGUCUCAAACUCCUGACCUCAGGUGAUCCUCCCCUCUCAGUCUCCCAAAGUGCUGGGUACAGGCGUGAGCCACCAUGCCUAGCCAGGCAGGGGAUUUGAAAGAGAGGGUUUGGAAUGCAGAAGAGGCAGGGGGUGAGGAGGUGCCAGGUGCAUGACCCACCCCAAGGCUCCCCUUGAAUUGUUCCAUCUGGUGAAGGGGCUGGUGCCAGCGUGGCUUCUACCAGGUUAUAAACUAAUUGUCGUCAGACUCGUAGUCAGUCUCGAGCCAGGAGCGCGUUCCUGCCUUGAAGUAAUUUUUUGCUGGAGAGAGAAUUCCGGCGGUGUCUGGUCUGUAUCAGGAUCUGAGGGUUUUAAGGAAGUAGUGAGCAGAUAAGUGAGCAUGGUUUGCACCUAACAACAUUCCAGGUAAAUAAGUGUGCGUAAGGCUUGGAGCACAGAAUGGGAACGGGAGUGGAGCUCACAGCACAUUCCAAGGCUGUGAAGUUUAUCUCAGAGCUACAGCUUGAAACUGGGGAGGAAGCAGAAAAGGGGAAAGAAAAAGAAGUUUUGAAAUGUGAUUUGAGGUGAAGCUGUAAGUGGCUCGGUUACAAGGACCUUAGCUUCCACACCCUCCUGCACCCCUCGUAGCGUGACUCCAGAUGAAUUCAUCUCUUCAGACCCAGCUUGACCCCUCUAGCCAGUGGCCAAUCAGGGAAGCCUUCCACCUGUGGCCCCUGCUUCCAGAUGUCCUGCCUUUCUGGGCCGAACCAGAGUAUGCAUUAUGUGUAUUGAUUUCUGGCUUUGCCUGCAAUUUCUGUCUCCCUAAAAUGUAUAAAGGCAAGCUGUACCUUGACCACCUUGAGCACAUGCUCUCAGGACGUCCCAAGGCUGUGUCAUGGGUCACAAUCCUUACUCUUAGCAAAAUAAACCUCUAAAUUGAUUGAGACUCAUCUCAGACACUUUUUGGCUUACAAGGGGCAGCGACAGCUCA